AGGGGCAGCGGGGUUGUAGCAAUACAACUGCCGGCGACCGGCGCACGGGUGAGUAACACGUAUGUAACCUGCCCUCUGCAGGGGGAUAAGCGGAAGAAAUUCCGUCUAAUACCGCAUAAUACAAUUUGGAGACAUCUCCGGGUUGUCAAAGGAGUGAUCCGGCAGAGGAUGGACAUGCGGCGCAUUAGCUAGUCGGCGGGGUAACGGCCCACCGAGGCUACGAUGCGUAGGGGUUCUGAGAGGAAGGUCCCCCACACUGGUACUGAGACACGGACCAGACUCCUACGGGAGGCAGCAGUGAGGAAUAUUGGUCAAUGGGCGGAAGCCUGAACCAGCCAAGUCGCGUGAGGGAAGACGGUCCUAUGGAUUGUAAACCUCUUUUGCACGGGAGCCAGGCGCGGUACGUGUACCGCGAAAGAGAGUACCCUUGAAAAAAAGCAUCGGCUAACUCCGUGCCGGCAGCCGCGGUAAUACGGAGGAUGCGAGCGUUAUCCGGAUUUAUUGGGUUUAAAGGGUGCGCAGGCGGACUGUUAAGUCAGCGGUAAAAUGUCGGUGCUCAACACCGGCCGGCCGUUGAAACUGGCAGCCUUGAGUGAGCGAGAAGUAUGCGGAAUGCGCGGUGUAGCGGUGAAAUGCGUAGAUAUCAGGGAGAACUCCGAUUGCGAAGGCAGCAUACCGGCGCUCAACUGACGCUCUGGCACGAAAGCGUGGG
rnacentral:rRNA from 1 species